UACGGGGGGGGCAAGCGUCGUUCGGAAUUACUGGGCGUAAAGGGCUCGUAGGUGGCCAACUAAGUCAGACGUGAAAUCCCUCGGCUUAACCGGGGAACUGCGUCUGAUACUGGAUGGCUCGAGAUUGGGAGAGGGAUGCGGAAUUCCAGGUGUAGCGGUGAAAUGCGUAGAUAUCUGGAGGAACACCGGUGGCGAAGGCGGCAUCCUGGACCAACACUGACGCUGAGGAGCGAAAGCCAGGGGAGCAAACGGG
rnacentral:rRNA from 1 species